UACCAGCACCCCGAGUGGUCGGGACGAUUAUUGGGCCUAAAGCAUCCGUAGCCGGUCAUGCAAGUCCUCCGUUAAAUCCACCUGCUUAACAGAUGGGCUGCGGAGGAUACUACAAGGCUAGGAGGCGGAAGAGGCAAGCGGUACUCAGUGGGUAGGGGUAAAAUCCUCUGAUCCAUUGAAGACCACCAGUGGCGAAGGCGGCUUGCCAAUACGCGCUCGACGGUGAGGGAUGAAAGCUGGGGGAGCGAACGGG
rnacentral:rRNA from 1 species